ACUCAAAGGAAUUGACGGGGGCCCGCACAAGCAGCGGAGCGUGUGGUUUAAUUCGACGCAACGCGCAGAACCUUACCUUGCCUUGACAUGCUACUGCAAGCCCGAGAAACCGGGUCGCCUUCGAGGGUGUAGCACCGGUGCUGCAUGGCUGUCGUCAGCUCGUGUCGUGAGAUGUUGGGUUAAGUCCCGCAACGAGCGCAACCCUUGUCCUGUGUUAUACGUGUCACAGGAGACUGCCCUGGUCAACCAGGGAGGAAGGCGGGGAUGACGUCAAGUCCGCAUGGCCCGUACGGCAAGGGCGACACACACGCUACAAUGGCAUCAAGAAUAUGUUGCUGCCUGGUAACAGGUGGCGAAUCACCAACAGAUGUCUCAGUUCAGAUUGGGGGCUGCAACUCGCCCCCAUGAAGGCGGAGUUGCUAGUAAUCGCCGGUCAGCCAUACGGCGGUGAAUCUGUACCCGGGCCUUGUACACACCGCCCGU
rnacentral:rRNA from 1 species